UCUUACAACUGGACUUGCCCAUUGUGGGACUCUGGAAGCAAUAUUUAUGGCACUGUUACAAAGUUGUUGAUUCCUAUUUGGGAAAUGAGUUUUUAAAGCCCAGAUAAGCUCCCACACCUAUCUGUGUGAUCUUGUUGUCUUACAUCUGAACUGCUACUUGGAAGACCAAAGAGUGAGCACUGGAUUGCUUGUCACUUGCUGGAGAGAUGCUGGCAUGCUAUGUUUCCUAUCCUUCACCUUUUUUUUCUUUUCUGAGACAGGGUCUUGCUUUGUUGCCCAGGCUGGAGUGCAGUGGUGUGAUCACUGCUCACUACAGUCUCGACCUCCUGGGCUCAGGUGAUCCUCCCACCUUGGCCUCCAGAGUAACUAAGACUACAGGCACACGUUACCAGGCCCCGCUAAUUUUUGUAUUUUUUUGUAGAGACAGAGUUUCACUGUGUUAGCCAGGCUGGUCUGGAACUCCUGAGCUCAAGCAAUCUGUCUGCCUUGGCCUCCCAAAGUGCUGGGAUUACAGGCAUGAGCCACUAUGCCCACCUAUCCUUCCCCUUUCUAGCACAAGUAAUUGUUUACCCUGGGCACGUGGACAAGGUCUGAUACAUUGUCUUUGGAUGAACAGGCUUCAUAUCUUCCUUACCUUGGGGAACUUGCACAAGGCCAACACUUAUACCAGCAAGUGAAGACAAUCUCUUCAACUAAUUGUCCUGGGAAAACAGAAUAUCUACAUGUAAAAGAAUAAAGCUGGACCUUUACCUUACACUAUAUACAAACAUUAAUUCAAAAAGGAUCAAAGACCUAAAUUUAAAAGCUAAAACUAUAAAAUUCAUAGAAGGAAACAUAGAUGAAAAUAUGCAUGAUCUUGGCCCAGAGCGGUGGCUCAUGCCUGUAAUCCCAGCACUUUGUGAGGCCAAAGCAAGCGGAUCACUUGAGGUCAGGAAUUUGAGACCAGCCUGACCAAUUUGAUGAAACCCCGUCUCUACUAAAAAUGCAAAAAUUAGCUGGGUGUGGUGGCGCACACCUGUAAUCCCAGAUACUCGGGAGAUGAGGCAGGAGAAUCGCUUGAACUUGGGAGGUGGAGGUUGCAGUGAGCGGAGAUUGUGCCACUGCAUGGUAGCCUGGGUGACAGUGAGACUUUGCCUCAAAAAGAAAGAAAGAAGGAAAGAAGAAUGGAAGGAAGGAAGGAGAAAAGAAAAGAAAAGAAAAGAUGCAUGAUCUUGUAUGAUCUUGAAUUUGACAAGUUUCUUAAAUAUGGCACCAAAAGUCCAGGCAACAAAAGAAAAUACAGAUAAAUUGGAUUUCAUCAAAAUUAAAAACUCUUCUACAUCAGGUGCGGUGGCUCACGUCUGUAAUCCCAGCACUUUGGGAGGCCGAG
rnacentral:lncRNA from 1 species